rnacentral:rRNA from 1 species
UACGGGGGGGGUAAGCGUUGUUCGGAAUUACUGGGCGUAAAGGGCUCGUAGGCGGCCAACUAAGUCAGACGUGAAAUCCCUCAGCUUAACUGGGGAACUGCGUCUGAUACUGGUUGGCUUGAGUGCAGGAGAGGAAUGCGGAAUUCCAGGUGUAGCGGUGAAAUGCGUAGAUAUCUGGAGGAACACCGGUGGCGAAGGCGGCAUUCUGGACUGCAACUGACACUGAAAGACGAAAGCCAGGGGAGCAAACGGG